UCGUAGCUCAGUAGGAUAGAGCGACGGUUUCCUAAACCGCAGGUCAUGGGUUCGAUUCCCUUCGGGC
rnacentral:tRNA from 1 species